UCGAAUGCCGCCAACCGCGAUCAAAUCGGUCUAGCCGUUCUGAAGUUAUAAGAGGUUUACAUACACACACAUACACACACACACACACACACACACACACACA